rnacentral:rRNA from 1 species
AUACGUAGGGGGCUAGCGUUAUCCGGAAUUACUGGGCGUAAAGGGUGCGUAGGUGGUUUCUUAAGUCAGAAGUGAAAGGCUACGGCUCAACCGUAGUAAGCUUUUGAAACUAAGAGACUUGAGUGCAGGAGAGGAGAGUAGAAUUCCUAGUGUAGCGGUGAAAUGCGUAGAUAUUAGGAGGAAUACCAGUUACGAAGGCGGCUCUCGGGACUGUAACUGACACUGAGGCACGAAAGCGUGGGGAGCAAACAGGAUUAGAUACCCUGGUAGUCCACGCCGUAAACGAUGAGUACUAGCUGUCGGGGGUUACCCCCCUCGGUGGCGCAGCUAACGCAUUAAGUACUCCGCCUGGGAAGUACGCUCGCAAGAGUGAAACUCAAAUGAAUUGACGGGG